AUUUGAAUUCUGAAUUAUACUCCAUUUCAUGUGGGGUCAUAUAGUGGAUGACUGUAUUGGAGUGUUAUUUGUGGUUGGUAACUAAGAGAAAGGAGUCAGUAGAGUGAAGUCUUGUGCAUUUCUAAACUGUUUGUUGGAGUGUUGUUGUUGGUUGGAUAAAUUACCUUAUCAACAACUAAGUACUUCCCAGUUGUUAUCCCUAGUUGCUGAAAAGACUGUGUGACAUCAAGAAUAUCAUCCACAACUUGAAAUAACAACCCAAUACAUCUUACAAACUUCCUUAGCUUCUUUAGAUCUUCAUCUUCUGCCCCUCCUAAAAUAGCUCCAAUCACAAUAGACCCUUCUCAUAAAACUGUAGUCUUGUACAAAUGAAUCAAUUUAAACUUCUUUAAAUCAACAUUAGAAAUGACCUCAGAUAUUAUUUCUACAACUUGUCCAACUACAAGAGGUUAUGGACCUUUGGUGUUAUUGGAGAAAUUGGGAAAGUUAAAAAUUUGAGAGAGGUGUUCAUGAUAUAGAAGAUGAUGGGAACGAAGUUGAUGAACUAGACUUGACCUAAGGGAUCAAUCACAUAUUCAAGCCACACUAGCUGUUGGAAAAAUUUGUGUAUGUUUUGAUUAAGAUAUAUCACAUUGGACCAAGUAUAUAUACGCAGUUUCAAACAUCUUUUAUUUUUGAACAUUCAAAACUUGUGUGUUUUGAUUUUUUUGAAUGGUCGAAAAAUUAUUUGGUCUCU